rnacentral:misc_RNA from 1 species
UUAAGUUCAGCGGGUAGUCCUACCUGAUCCGAGGUCAACUUUUUGGGAGUAGCGUUAUUAGCGCUAUGGAGCGGGAGGCAGAACCGCGCCACGGCCGCCGGAGCGUUAAAGUUAGGUAACUACUGCGCUCAGGGCCGCGGCGGAUCCGCCGCUAGAUUUGGGGGCCUGCGGGGGUGCCGCAGCGCCCCAACGCUAGACAC